CCCUGAAGCCACCUUGCAGCUCUUCUGAAAUGGGUUGGGGGAUCCAGCUAUCUGUAAUUGUGAAGUGAAGAGGAUGUGACUGCCAGGUAAUGCUAACCCCGAAUCCUUGGUGCCUGUGUUAUGCACCAUAUGCUGAAUUUCGGUUCCAGCUGUGUGCUAGGCUGGGUCUGAUCUGGCAAAGAGGAACUGGCUCCACAGCUCUGGGCAGAAUCCACUGCUGCUCCCACACAGAGAAGACCAGGGGAACCGCAGUCCCACUCUGAGAUGGAGUUUCGCCAUGUUGUCCAGGCUGGUCUGGGACUCCUGGGCUCAAGCAGUCCUCCCACCUAAGCCUCCCAAAGUGUUGGAAUUACAGGCGUGAGCCACCGCGCCCAGCCUGCUGAGACUUUUGAAUGUGUUCUGUUUCCACUACACAAUUGAGAACACUGAAGUACCAGUGACUUCCAGGGUGGGGAAGAAAUCCAGAGGCUGCUCCUGAAAGGGGUCACCCUUGAGUGUGAGUCUGUUCCAAGUAAAUCAAGUGAGCUGGAAGAUCGAGUGGAAACCCUUGACACGUGUUACACACAAACAACACUUGGGGUGGAACAAGAGGUUUACAAUGA
ensembl:lncRNA LINC00222 long intergenic non-protein coding RNA 222